AUAAUUCAACAUAACGGAUUAAAAUGAAUCAUUGUAAAGAGAUGCCCAAGAGGAAGAAGAUAUAGCCGUUUAGAGAGAGAGAGAGAGAGAGAGAUUGAUCUUGGCUUGAACGAAAAAAAUAAGAUCUGUCAUGGAUGAAGAAUCCGAUUUGCUGAUGUUUAAUGGUUUCUUUGAGAAAAGCAGUGCAGAGACUUAGUUUAGUGUUCUUCGCGAAUGGGUUCUUCUCAGAGGAAUGCAUAUGUUGACAUAUACAUACAUUCAUAUGCAUACAUACAUACAUUCAUAUGCACACAUACAUACAUACAUACAUACAUUCAUACAUUUAUAUGCACACAUACAUACAUACAUUCAUAUGCACACAUACAUGCAUACAUACAUUGUAAGAGCUCACAACAAGAUCAGUGGUUAUUGCGACUUCUAAUUGCGGUAGUCAUGGCAGAUCAAGGUCAGAUGUUUGUGAAAGAGACAUCUUUUGACAACUGUACUACUGGGUGUGAUGACUCCACUAUCAAGUCUUCUCAUGAGAAAGCAGCAUAUGGGGCUUCAUCUAGGCUGCAAAUUGUGAUGAUCCCCCUAUCUGAGGAUAUAUCCUGGUCUGUGUUCCAUAACAGCCUCUCAACAGGCAUUUCACCUUUUCAGGCAACACUACCCUCUAAACUUGUUCCCUUACGAUCUCUAUUAUUUACCCUUUAUAUGUACUUUCAAUAGUUCUUGAGCCCAGACGGGUUCCAAUAACAAUCUUACUUACCGCUUCCAUAGUAGGAUGCUCCUGGGGAUAAACUACAUCUCCCUCAGAUCAAAUCAGGAACUAACAUUAGAAACACUCCUACAUAGUCACAGACUAGUUUCUGAAAAUAACAGGUCCAUCUCGGAUGGAACUCUAAAAUGGCAGAGACACAACGAGAGUCCUUCAGCAGGUAACGCCUUCACUUUUUUUUAGGUCAAGCUUUAGGUAUCUGACAUUAUUCUAGAGAUGAACUAUAUUUGGAUUAUGCGUAUAGUUCUUCAGCCAGGUAACGCCUUCACUUUUUUUAGUUAUGCGUAUAUCUUCCAAAAUUAUGUUCUCAUUAGUAGUCUCUGAACAGAAAAACACUUGUAUGUCACAGUGUUCUCAUUCGAUUGAUUAUUUGGAGUAGCUUUCGAAACUUCAAAAACGGUCAAGCUUUAGGUAUCUGACAUUAUUCUAGAGAUGAACUAUAUUUGGAUAUGAGAAAAAGUACAAGCAAGAUCCACGAUAAGACUAUGUUCCACUUGUGGGAGCAGUUAUGAGAACUAAGUAUACGAACCAGAAAGUUAGGAGGGAGCAGUUAUGAGAACUAAGUAUACGAACCAGAAAGUUAGGAGCUUAGAAGCUGAGUAUCCAAUGUUUCUGAAACAUGUUUGGCCUCAAAAGAUGCCAGGCCCUUUGAUUUGCUAAAAAAAGAAGCUCAUGUUAAGAUUAGAUACACUCGGAAUCCAUAUUCUAAAGACUUAUGAAGAGGAAUGGUCUUAUAUCCCAGUCGGUGGGUCCUUGCCAAACACUGAACAAAAGAAUCUCGCCGUUGGUCUGCAGCUAUUGAAGGAACCCUUUCCACUGCAGAAUUCUAGUGAAAAGAGUUAUUUUUUGCUCUUUGUGAUGAACAUAGUGGUAUACGUUUCAUGAGGUGAAAAGCAAACGGGAGACAAAGAAAGAGAAUUUAAUCCAAAAAGCUCAAGACAUGGGGAAGGAAUGGACGGAGGAACUUAGCUUCAAACUACACUGAUGCCAAUAAUGGAAGAAGUGCAGCUUUUAAAAGGCAGAGUGGAGCUAAUCACAUAAUAAGAAGUCUUAGAAAUGCUUCGCCUGCUCCUAUCAAAGCAACAAUCGACACAAUACCUUGUUCCAUAAAGGAGUCUAACCCUGUAAUUCCCCCAAGUGGAGUUAGAAACCGAAAUAUUACAGAAGAACACACUCCCUUCAAGUCUACAUCUUCGUCUGAUGAUCUUACUGAGCUGAAGAAGUCUAAAGCAACUGAAAAUGAACCUUAUCAGAUUUUUUUGUGCGAAUCAAUAUCCAAGAAAGAAAUUGCAGUGAAGAAGAGCGCAAAUUUAUUUGCAGUUUGGAUGCAGCUAAUAUUGUUUUGAAUAAACCUCAUGGUAUGGCUGUUCAAGGAGGAACUGGGGUCAAAGCCAUUAUUGAUGGGGUCAAAGCCAUUAUUGAUGAACUAUAUGCUACCACUUGCUUGACUUUUGAUAAAUCAGAAUCUCCUCGGCUGGUGCACAGACUUGACAGAGACUGUAGUGGACUUUUGGUGUUGGGAAGAACACAAACGGCUGCAACGCCUUUUCAUUGUAUAUUCCUCGAGAAAACAACUGGUUAGUGUCGCAUAUGUAAGACCUCUCCUUAAAGGGGAAAGAUUUCAGCAUGCUAUCACUGAAUACCGAGUGAUUGAAUUUUCACCACUUGGUAUGCUUCGUCGUCCCUCAAUGAACAGGGACUACAUUGAGUGACGGCUUGUCAUAGGUGAAGAACCUGUGAUGGCUCAAUGAACAGGGACUACACCGUCCUCUUUCCUUUGGUGUCUCAAGGAGUCUUGGUAUCUUCUCUCAGGUAAUGGUUAUUAGAAGUAUCAGAGUCAAAAUUCCUCUGGAAAUCAGCGCAGAAGAAAGUCGUAAAAUCAUUACAGAUUCUGUCAAGAGAUUGAAUUUAUAACUUAGCUCUUGAGGAGGUGUGUGACGUGUGUCUCGUAUCUUAGCUCGAAAGUUGUGAGCAUAACAGAAGCUCCUGAUGGCCUUAGGUUUAUUUCCUGUGAAGAAAAGCACCAUUGUUCCGUGCAGCUCUUGCAGUACGAAGUUGGAAGACGUAGAGUGUCCCUGUUCAAGCUGCAUAUGGCGUAGAGGUGGAGGUAUAGUAUGAAUCUUUUGAGACUGUUCUGUUUGAAAAAUUCAAGUGGAAGACAGUCCGUAAGAUCCAGAGCAGAUGGUUUGCAUGAAUUACGGAGAGUAUGCGAACCAGAAAGUUAGGAGCUUAGAAGCUGAGUAUCCAACGUUUAUGUACGCCAUGCCUAUGACAAAGACAAAAGUGUUCUUUGAGGAGACAUGUCUAGCCUCAAAAGAUGUCAUCAUGCCCAUUGAUUUGCUAAAAACGAAGCUCAUGUUAAGAGUUACCGAGAAUAAAUCUCAAAACUCUGUUUGAGAGGAAUAGGAGGCGAUUUCCAGCCGGUGAGAGAGUUUAACAGCGUACGUUGAAGAUUCCGGCAACAAUGUCGAGGAGACGGAGUCUGUGGGUGGAAGUGAACUGACGAAGCGGUGGAGGAUAUCGAGGGGGGGAGGGGGAGCGGCGAAGAGGCGCAUGGCCUUGAUGAUUUUAAAGAACUUCUGGCUGGAAGGUUUUUUUGACAGACCGAUUCCCAAGCGAGAGACAUAAUCUGAAAUCUGGGAAUCUUGGGAAUGUUGAAGAGAAUGAAAUGGGAGCAGAGAGAAAGAAAGAAGUUCAAUACAUACAGGUUGCAUACGGUUUUGAUCUAAACGAAACAUAUAUUUUGUGUUUUGUGUAUGUACAUUUGUUUGUGUACACGAGUACAUUGGGUGAGCACGAUGAUGUGUACGAAAAUGUUAGUGUAUGCAUGUAUAUGUUAAAGAGAUAUGAAAGUCAUAUUCUACUGCCAUUUGAGAAUCAACUUCAUUAAGCUUUGUAUAAUGAUAUGAAAUUCAUAUUCUACUACCAUUUGAGAAUCAACUUCAUUAAUCUUUGUAUAAUGAUAUGAAGUCAUAUUCUAUUACCAUUUCAUCUUUGAAUGGAAUUAGUUUAAUUUUUCAGUGAUGUACACAUGUACACUACCAUAUGUAUUGUACACAAAUAUGUUACCAACAUUUAAUGUAUACAUGUACACACGUACACUAACGAAUGUACAUAACUUUACAACAUGUUGGACAUCUAACAUCAAUCUCAAACAUAUGUGUACAUGUAAACAUCUGAUAAAAUAAGAUAUAUAUAUUGUACACAUUAGCCCUUAUCGAUAGUGAAAACAUGUGUACAUGUAAAUUUCUUUUGAAAGUAUAUAUGUUAAACAUGCAAACAUAUUUAGAAGUGUUAAAAAGAAUAAAAGCCUUCCAAGAUCUAGCUUUCAAUGCAUAACCAUCACUGCCUGUGAAAUAUUUUCCGCAAAUCUCGUCCCAUCGAUUUAUUCCAAUAUGGGAGCAUGCUUCCAUAUAGAAAGAUUAUUGUUUGAUGUACAAUGUGAUUGUGUACAUCCCAUGCCGUGUACAUUCUGUACAAUGUAAUCGUGUACAAAUUGGUUGUGUACACGUGUAGAUCCCAUGUAUUCUAUGUCGUGUACAAUGUAUUUUUGGAGACUAAUCUGCACAUUUUAAUGCUAUGGGGCCAUAAUGAAAAUAAUCAAAAGCCAGCUGACUAUUUCUGAAAGAUUGUUGUUUUCUACACAAUGUGAUUUUGUACAUCCCAUGUCGUGUACUCGUGUACAUCUCAUGUCAUGUAUAAUGUGAUUUUGGGGACUAAUCUGCACAUUUUAAUAUUUUGGGAGCAUAAUAAAAAUAAUUAAAACCGAAGGACUAUUUCUGAAAAAGAUGAAACUCAUCCAUUGAUGUCGCUCGGUCUAUCUUUUCGUUGGAUCUCGUUAACGACGAUGGCGAGCAGACAACGACGGAGCAGAGACACAGCAAUGAGAAUUAAUUCCUAUGGCGGCGAAGGCUGAAAGCACGACCCGAGAUGGGGCAGUCAUGGGCUUGAGACGUGGAGAAGCCGAUGUUAACGAGACGCGACGAAGAGCAACGACCACCGGUGAACGAGACCUAACAUCGACGCCAUCUUGGACAGAGGAGCUGAGGGCGGAGAGGAGGUGAUGAAUUGGAGCUUUUCGACUGUAACCCGUUUAUUGACCUGUCAACUCCAAGCACCAAAAGAAUCAACUUUUCUUUAGCUUUCAUCAUUUAGGAUUCCGCAAUUCUCGAACCCAGAACUCAAGUUCGUCAAAGCUCGAGUCCUCGACGACAAUUUGGUCAUACGCCGUUGGGAUAUUGAUUAUUUUCAUUAUUUGGUUAGGUUCAUAGAUGUGAAGCUAUUGUAGAACAUGAAAAGCAUGGCUUGUGAGAUUUGAGAAAAAAAUGUACGAGUAAAAUCGAUGAGGGAGAGAGAAAGAUAUUAGGACUCAAGUGCAUUUAAAUGUUUAGUAGACCAAUUUUAUGGUUAGUUAACCUAACUAAAUGAAACGACCAGUUACGCUUUUUGGAGUCUUUCCAUUGAAAAACUACCUCUGUAGUGGAAACUGCUCUAUUGUGUAAAAGAAAACUUGAAACUGCCCCUGUGUGUAAUAAACUCUUUUUAGAAAGGGUUUCACAAGUUUAAGCUUGUGUUUUUAUCUCAAGUCUUAACUUCAUCUCAAACAUUUCAUUUUCUUCUUUGAGAUACAAAAUGAACCACAACGAUAUGAUCAUCCAUACUUAUAAGUUCUAAGUAACACUGGAAAACCCAUGAGGGAUGGUCAUAAUCAAGUCAGUUAUGUAUUGCGAAAUUGAUAUAGCAAACGGUGAAAAGACUAGCUAAAAACAGCUAGUAUGAAAACAUGGACUUUUAAAGUUUUAAUUAAAAUUCAUUUAAGAAUAUAGGUUAAGGUUAAAGUUUUAGUUUUUCUUUUCUUCUUUAAGAUAAAAAUAAAAGUUCAUUUUCUAUCUUUGAUAAGAAGAAAUAUAUGUUCUCAAAACAUUUUUUGUCCAACAUUAAUAGUCUUUGUUUUCAAACAUUUCCAAAACUUAUAGUAUUUAAGUAUUUUUAAUAAUGUUUUAUGGUCAACACUAAUCAAUUAAUGAUAAAGAUUAUAUGUAACCGUAGAAUCGUAUCAAAAUUAAAGGUGGAUAUAUAUUCCUAAACUCAGAUCGAAACCACUUUAGCUAUUAACGAGAUCUUCAUCUUCUUCAACAAGUGAUAUUCCUAAAUUUAGAAAGUAGAUCAAUUACUCAGACAUAUUAUUUGAACACAUCUACGAAUAAAAAUAUUAGUUUACGUUAAUUUGUUGGUUAAAACUUAAAAAGACAUAUAGAAUCCAAAGAGUUGGUACUGUAUAAUGGGUAAAAGACAAAUUAGAGCUGAGCUUUUGAAACCUUCCACAUCCAUGUCUCAAAUCAUAUGCUCUUGAAACCUUCCACGUUCAUUCACAUGCAUGCCUUUCCGUUUUUAAUUAUUAUGUAUGUUAUGAUCUCCUUCAUUGUAAACUGUAGUAAGAUUUGGAAUAUAUUGUAUUGGUUUGGGUCUCUUUGAGUAUGAUAACGAUCUCUCUAAGUUUGGGUCUUUUAAAACUUUUGAGUCAUAUAUUAUUGAUUUUUGUAUAGUGUUUAAUGCAAAGUACGACUUUAUUUAAAACCUUCAAAUUCAAACGAGAGUGGCAACUUUGAACACUAUUCAUGUAUUCAUAGUGAAAUUGGAACAAACUUGUGAUUCAUUUAUGCAUAAGUUUAUUCGUGAUUCGGCUGCAUGCUAUUUUAUUUUGAUUAUUUUAUUAGUGAUUCGGUUGCAGAUCCAAACUAAUCAGUAUUUAAGUCCUAUAAAAAGCUCCAAACUAAUUUUUUUAAUAUAGAUACAGUCGACAGAUAGACCAUUUUUUCAGCAUUUUUUCAGGUUUUCAAAUAGGUUUUAUCUUCGAACUUUUAAAAAGAUUAUAAAUAAUAGGUCAAUAUCAGCAUGACCACAUAUGUUUAGUGUCGUGUGUUACUUAAAUUCUAGUAUCCUCAAAAUAUGUCUACCACCAGACUACUAGGACGUCGUUGAUUGCAUGCUAUUUGUAAGUAAUCAUUUUAAAACAAAUCGUAAGAAUGUCUGUAAUAUGAUCCAAACUAUAUGUUUAAGGCUUUCCUUUCCGGACCAGUGAAAUGCUAUCAUUGUAGUUUUUAAAUGUCAAUAAAUUAUAUAAUUGUGUUUUGACUAUAAUUGUGUUUAAACUAACCAAUGCAAAAUUUUUAGUUCAACAACAGGGAUUUAUACUCACUCUUUUAAUAUGCGGAGUAAAUAGAACAACAAUCAAAUAAUGAUUUCACAAAUUAUUGUGAUACUCAUAUUAUAUCUAAAUAAUGUAGAAAUUGCAUGUAUUACAUAAUACAAUUGAUACAUAUAAACAUAAUUAAAGAAUGGAAAUCAGAAUUUCAGUAUGAGAUAUUAGACCAAAGUUAUAUUUUAAAUUUUACAAACAAUCAUUCUAAUUUUGUAUUUCUGUUCCAUUUUUUUUCCGAUAAGUUAAUACAUUCAUUUUAUAGUGUUUAUGGUACAUUAUGUCAAACACCCAAUCAUUUUGACUAAAGUCCCCUAGAAAACUCAUCAAAAUGUAUUUUAAAAUAUUUCCUCUAAACAAAGUCCAAAAAGUAUUUUAAAAUAUUUCCUCAAAAACAAAGUCCAACAAUUAAUGCUAACACGACUUCUACAAACUAAUAAAACGUUAAAAUGAAAGAAAAAGAAAAGAAAAAGAAACUCAACACAAACGCUAACAAAAAUAUUAGACUUUUUCCUAACUUUAGAGAAAUAAAACAUUUAUUUCUGACUUUUUACAUCAAAAGAGAAGAAAAAAAGGCAUAUCUUAUAAGUGAAGGGACUGCGAAUUUUGCAACAUGAGGUGCCCCACUACAAAAGGACAAGAAUCAUGAAUCAUAUAUUCAAUUCAACAAUCCUUCUUAUUGAAUACUAUAUUAAAACAAUAAUAUAAUAUACAUACAUAAAUCACCAUAUUAAAAAGGAGAUAUUUAACUAAAAAGUAAGGAAAACGUAGACAGUUGUGAUCUGCAAAAACAAAGAAAAGUCAUUAAUUUAACCAAAGCAGAAAUUUCGUCCCCAAGCAUUGAAAGAGGGUCAAUAUGGACCCCCCACCUUCAUUUAUAAAAUCAUAUCCCCACACCAAUUAAUUAGAUACACCAAAAUAAAUAUUCUGAAAUGCAUUUAAUGUUUAAGAAGUAAAUGAUCUUUCAUCAAACAUAACACCAGUAUUCAACUUCGUAUCCAGAAAUAUCAAAAAACAAUAUAUGCAAAACCAAUGGAACAAACAAUUAUUUGUAAAUUGUUAAAAACCAUGAUAAUGAGAUCUUGAGAGUGUAGAUUUAUCAUAAAUACGGCCGUGUGUAUGUGUGUGGACUCGACUCUCAAGGUCAUCUUUCUCUUUCAUUUGUUGCCAAACAAGUAGGAACAAAGUCUAUGUUCACAUUAUCCUUACUUCCAAAAUCACCAAUUUUUCAUAUUAUCUUUGAUCAAUGUGAAAUGUAAUUUGGUUAUAUUCUCUUUGGCAUCUUUCUUGUUUUGUUCACAUUAUGUUCUUUACUUUCUUCUACAAGUGGCCAAAGUGGAUAAUUGGAUGAGAUCAUUGUAGAGAAAGCAGAGAGGCUUUAACAGAAAAAAGCUGAAGAUAAGAUGAAGCGAAAACACCAAACAUAUCUCCAUAUAGAUCGCAAAAGAGAGAUGAACAAUAUCAAGAUUUAUAGUUAAUAUGGUUGAUUUAACACAAACACUUAAUGAUAGGAAAGUAAAAGCAGCAGGCAAUUCUCCUUCUCUUGCCUUCACCUUGCUCAAAAACAUUGAAGGUGAGAAUUAAAAUAUAAAACCAAACUGAAAAAAAAAACAUUAAGUAAACCAACCAAAACUCCAUCCCACCUAGUGAGAUCAGAGUAAAAAGAAAA